rnacentral:rRNA from 1 species
ACGUAGGGUGCGAGCGUUAAUCGGAAUUACUGGGCGUAAAGCGUGCGCAGGCGGUUCGUUGUGUCGGCGGUGAAAGCCCCGGGCUUAACCUGGGAAUGGCAUUUGGGACUGCAAGGCUCGAGUGCGGCAGAGGAGACUGGAAUUCCUGGUGUAGCAGUGAAAUGCGUAGAUAUCAGGAGGAACACCGAUGGCGAAGGCAGGUCUCUGGGCUGACACUGACGCUCAUGCACGAAAGCGUGGGGAGCAAACAGGA